rnacentral:rRNA from 1 species
UAACGCGAAGAACCUUACCUGGGCUUGACAUGUGGAUGACCGGCCUGGAAACAGGUCUUCCCUUCGGGGCAUCUUCACAGGUGGUGCAUGGCUGUCGUCAGCUCGUGUCGUGAGAUGUUGGGUUAAGUCCCGCAACGAGCGCAACCCCCGUCGUAUGUUGCCAGCAUUUAGUUGGGGACUCAUGCGAGACUGCCGGUGACAAACCGGAGGAAGGUGGGGAUGACGUCAAGUCAUCAUGCCCCUUAUGUUCAGGGCUACACACGUGCUACAUUGGCGCGUACAGAGGGCUGCGAUGCCGCGAGGCGGAGCGAAUCCCUUAAAGCGCGUCUCGGUUCGGAUUGCAGGCUGAAACCCGCCUGCAUGAAGGCGGAGUUGCUAGUAAUCGCGGAUCAGCACUGCCGCGGUGAAUACGUUCCCGGGUCUUGUACAC